rnacentral:rRNA from 1 species
UACGGGAGGCAGCAGUGAGGAAUAUUGGGCAAUGGUCGGAAGACUGACCCAGCCAUGCCGCGUGCAGGAAGACGGCCCUAUGGGUUGUAAACUGCUUUUAUACGGGAAGAAACCCUCCUACGUGUAGGAGCUUGACGGUACCGUAAGAAUAAGC